rnacentral:rRNA from 1 species
GACGAACCGUACGAACGUUAUUCGGAAUCACUGGGCGUAAAGGGUGCGUAGGCGGGUUAUUAAGUCAGAGGUGAAAUCCUGGAGCUCAACUCCAGAACUGCCUUUGAUACUGAUAGUCUUGAGUAUGGGAGAGGUGAGUGGAACUGCGAGUGUAGAGGUGAAAUUCGUAGAUAUUCGCAAGAACACCAGUGGCGAAGGCGGCUCACUGGCCCAUAACUGACGCUGAGGCACGAAAGCGUGGGGAGCAAACAGG